UAUGUUAGCCGGGCGACGGUUGUCCCGGUUUAAGCAUGUAGGCGGAGAUUCCAGGUAAAUCCGGAGUCUUGUUAACGCUGAGGUGUGAUGACGAGGCACUACGGUGCUGAAGUAACAAAUGCCCUGCUUCCAGGAAAAGCCUCUAAGCAUCAGGUAACACAAAAUCGUACCCCAAACCGACACAGGUGGUCAGGUAGAGAAUACCAAGGCGCUUGAGAGAACUCGGGUGAAGGAACUAGGCAAAAUGGUGCCGUAACUUCGGGAGAAGGCACGCUGAUAUGUAGGUGAAGUGAUUUACUCAUGGAGCUGAAAUCAGUCGAAGAUACCAGCUGGCUGCAACUGUUUAUUAAAAACACAGCACUGUGCAAACACGAAAGUGGACGUAUACGGUGUGACGCCUGCCCGGUGCCGGAAGGUUAAUUGAUGGGGUUAUCCGUAAGGAGAAGCUCUUGAUCGAAGCCCCGGUAAACGGCGGCCGUAACUAUAACGGUCCUAAGGUAGCGAAAUUCCUUGUCGGGUAAGUUCCGACCUGCACGAAUGGCGUAAUGAUGGCCAGGCUGUCUCCACCCGAGACUCAGUGAAAUUGAACUCGCUGUGAAGAUGCAGUGUACCCGCGGCAAGACGGAAAGACCCCGUGAACCUUUACUAUAGCUUGACACUGAACACUGGUCCUUGAUGUGUAGGAUAGGUGGGAGGCUUUGAAGUGUGGACGCCAGUCUGCAUGGAGCCAACCUUGAAAUACCACCCUUUAAUGGCUGGUGUUCUAACGUAGACCCGUAAUCCGGGUUGCGGACAGUGUCUGGUGGGUAGUUUGACUGGGGCGGUCUCCUCCUAAAGAGUAACGGAGGAGCACGAAGGUUAGCUAAUCCUGGUCGGACAUCAGGAGGUUAGUGCAAAGGCAUAAGCUAGCUUGACUGCGAGAGUGACGGCUCGAGCAGGUGCGAAAGCAGGUCUUAGUGAUCCGGUGGUUCUGAAUGGAAGGGCCAUCGCUCAACGGAUAAAAGGUACUCCGGGGAUAACAGGCUGAUACCGCCCAAGAGUUCAUAUCGACGGCGGUGUUUGGCACCUCGAUGUCGGCUCAUCACAUCCUGGGGCUGAAGUAGGUCCCAAGGGUAUGGCUGUUCGCCAUUUAAAGUGGUACGCGAGCUGGGUUUAGAACGUCGUGAGACAGUUCGGUCCCUAUCUGCCGUGGGCGCUGGAGAAUUGAGGGGGGCUGCUCCUAGUACGAGAGGACCGGAGUGGACGCAUCACUGGUGUUCGGGUUGUCAUGCCAAUGGCAUUGCCCGGUAGCUAAAUGCGGAAGAGAUAAGUGCUGAAAGCAUCUAAGCACGAAACUUGCCCCGAGAUGAGUUCUCCCUGACCCUUUAAGGGUCCUGAAGGAACGUUGAAGACGACGACGUUGAUAGGUCGGGUGUGUAAGCGUAGCGAUACGUUGAGCUAACCGAUACUAAUGAACCGUGAGGCUUAACCUU
rnacentral:rRNA from 1 species